CUGUUUUAUUGAAUUGAAUAUGAGUUUUGAAGGUCUUAUGUUAGACAUGAUGACCUGGCAUCCUUGAGAAAUGUACCCUUUUGACAUUUUGAUUUAAAUGGUUUCUGUUUCAUUUUUCAUCCCUGCAAAAUCAGUAACAAUCUACUCUAGUUUCUUGCCUUUCAUAGAGCCCAUGUAUCUUCCUCUGCUUCUAUAUGUUAACUAUUGUGGUUCAACAUAGGGUAAACUCAUUAGGCUGAAUAAGUCAGUGUGCUUUUAAAAAUAGUUUAUAACCACUAUAAGAUCUAUAAGAAAAAUCAUUUCUGCUACAUCACUCUUACUACAUGAACUAACAUUAAAAGUACAAAUGAUUUGAGAAAAGUUCAAAUUGGCCUUUUUAAGUUCAUCCCUCUAAUACAUUGACCAUAUUUUAUGAAUUCAUGGGAAACUGAUUUCCAUUUACUAGUGCAGCGUGAAGGCAAAGCCUUGCCAUAAGCAUCAUUACCAUUUCAUCGUUCAAGACUUAGCUUGUAAGGAGUAUCUUAAGACUAAUUUUACAUUCAAUUGUCAUAUAGUUGGUGUGCGGAAUGCUCGUAAAAUUUCUGGUACUUUUAGCAUACCAAUUAUUGGUGUUCAUCCCAUGGAGGCUCAUGCUCUUGUAGCCAGAUUAACUGAACAGGAACUACAAUUUCCUUUCAUGGCCCUGCUUAUUUCAGGUGAGGCCACGGAGGCAGCUCUUGGUAAUAGCAAGGACUAUUCACUCAAGUAAUAUAUGUUGUUUGUUGAGAAGCUGCAGACGAAAGCCAAGGUCAAAGCAGGUGUUAGUUAGAUUAUGCGACAUACCCUGUCGGACUUGAAGUGGCCUGCAAUUGAUGACAUGGGCUAGAUCUACGUUCUUGUCACCUUAUUGUGGUCAUCCACUAGAAGAUUGAAACCCUAGAAAAGAAAUAUAUCUUCGCGGUUUGUCUCAUCAAAACAUCUUGUCUUCCCAUCAGAAGAAAGAUAUCUUUCCAGUCUUCUUGUUUUCCAACAACACGUGAAUAUGACAGAUCAUAAUCAAGGUACGGUUUUGUUCUUGUUGAUGUGUUAACUGAAUGAGUAUUGGUUAAGUUAAAAACACAUUUUUUUUCACAUUUCAAUAAUCA